rnacentral:lncRNA from 1 species
CACAAACAUUACAAAGAUAACAACCUGAAGGACAGUUUGUGUGCUUUAACAGUUUGCUAAAUGUCUUUGUUUUAACUUUCAUCUGUGCUAAGUAACUUUAGCUCGUAAGCUAACCUGUUCAGAUACAACAUACCAUAUGUAUUUUCACUGUCUCAAACUUAAUCGUGUUGCUGUCACAGCACCAUUAGGUCUCGGUUGUUACCUUACGUUUAUGGAUUAUAGUUUAAUGUGCUUAUCUGGUACUGGCCCCGACUCAGUACAUGCUAUCAUGACAGACAGACAUCUCAACACUAGAGUCUAAUCAGAACUGAAAAACAGUCAGUCUAGUGUUGUGUCAGUCUUCUCGCUUCCACUCGGGACGUGUCUUUUUUUCCCCCCGGAAAGCCGCAAAAUCGCAUCGGGCUUGAUGUGUAUAGUCAGGCACGUCAAAAUUCGCCUUCGAAUAUAUCGUAAUUUCGCGUUGGAUAUUUGCGUUGGUCCCAGUGUGUAAGGACCUUUAGACUGCAGCUAUCAGCUCUGCAGACACACAAUAUUGGCAUUAACCAGGGCAAGAUGAUAAUGAAGUGUCGGAGGAGCAGGUAGAGUGGAACAGCACUGUGUGUGUGUGCAUUUAGGAGUCUAUGAGGAGCUCCCAUUGUAUGUUUACAAGCCAUACCUCCCUUGCCUCUGAACUGCUGUAAUGCAAAGUAAAAUCAUGCGUUGAUACAUAACACUUUGUCAAGUUGCACUGCAUGAGUACAAAAGUGCAGCUACGGUGGAAUUUAUGCAUUUGCAUUAGGAAGAGGCCUUUGAGUUUGCAUGAAUUUGACUAUUUUAUUUGAUGUGAUGGGUAUUAGUUACAGACACUUAAACCCAAUCAAAUCAAAGUUUCAUUUCUUUGCCGACUGCACGCAACAGCAAAAAUUCUGCCUUUACUUUAAGACUGACAAAAACAAGAGACUGCAAGAACUCAACAAUGGCAGAGCAGUCUUUCUGUGUUUCAAACUACUGAAACACUCUUGAAGUUGCAGAAAGUAAUCUGACUUCAAGUUAAAUGAAAAGAUACAGAGUAACUUGAGUAACUUCAUACUGCUCACAAAUGAAAUGCCAAACUGAGUUCAAGUCUGAUAAAUAUCAGUAUUAUGCUGCUUGGGCCACACUUGGGUGCAGGGUUAAAGAGGUAAGGGGGGCUGAAAGAGGAAACUGCCAGCGUGUGUGCUGCAAACAGAGCCCUAAAAUAGUCCCUACUGAGUCAGCAGUGAUCAGAGCACUUCUAACAGUCAGAGAAAUGAAGCUCUGGCUGGCUGCUGUGACUACUUUGGACUUAUUAAUUUAAAUAUGGCUGGAGGUGCAGUCGCUCUGCAGCUUUGAAGUGCCUGUCCAACAGAUUUGUACUUUGCACUGACAUAACUCUGCCUUAGCCUCCUUUUUAUGAAUCUGCACACAGGAGCUGUUUAAAAAAAGAAUAAAAUGUGAGACACGGGGACAUUAAUUUUAAUCAAACAUAAUCCAGAUUUCCUGAUUUGCACACGCGGCUAUGUUAAAGUUUUGUGUGCACAUUAGCAAUGCAGAGCAGAGUGGCUCCAUCGGUAUUCAUGCAGCGAGUCUGUCUGCGGCACGAGUGGAAUAAAGAUGCGUUUGAUUCACACAGAGGUGCCCUAACAUUUGCACUCGCGUCCUCAAGCUGUGAAAGUCUGCGGCACUCAACUGUGAUACGGCCACCGCUCGUCUGAGGCUGUCCGUCAAACACAGAGAGGAAGAGAGAGGAUUUCAGUGAGUUAGAGUUAUCUGUGUGAGUGACACUUCAGAUGAUGAUGUUAGCAAAGACAGAGCUCACUGAUAUGAGCUAAUGAUCUCAACACAAGUACCUCCCCCCAGCCAAGAAAUACCAUGACACAAAAAACUUACCCGAGCAAAAAGUGAGGGAAAAGUACUACAAGAACAAGUCUCCAAUUGGUGAGUACGAUAUACAAUAAUGGAAUAUUACGACCUAUCCAUGUUGUAGGCAACAAGGACAUCAUAAAACGUGGCAACGAAAAAAAAAAUCAGCUUUUGUACAUUUGUUAACUUUUUCCCAAGAAGAGCUGGUCAUAAACUCAUCUAUGGAAAACUCCAUGUCAGUUUAACACUAUCUUACACCAUGCAGAAAGUUUAUCUUAAAGACUUAGAAAAAAUGAGGAAAUCUAAGCUUUUUAGUCUGUUAUCUCCUUCAACUCAAGAAGAAACACCAAUUUUGAUACUCUCUGGAGUAUAAAACAUGAAACUUUUAUAAGACUGUCUUUGGAAAAAAAAGCAAAAAAAAACUCCAUGAACCCUCAAACUGAAAAAGUAUGAGGACCAUAAUUUUCUGGACGUUUUUUUUUUUUUUUUCCCUCAACUACUUUUCUAUCUUUUUUUUUGUGUGUGUGUGCAGGUGACAUGCACCUAAAUCAGACACGUGUUUACUCUCCUGCAUCUUUUAUUGGGUAACCAACUGGCACAUCGAAUGUGAUGCCCCCCAGAGACUGUUAUCCUCAUUACCACCCCGGAUAUAGAAAAAAGUCGCUAAAGUAACCAGGACUGUCCUCCCCUAAAUCACUAUGAUCAGUCACUUAUAGAAAGCAUCUGGUUGACCAUAUUAUCAAUAAUUGGUGACCUCUAGUGGUGGGGCCGGUUAUGACAGGAAGUAAAGUCAUGUGACACUGUGUGAAGGUCAGUUUUCUAGGAGCUCAGCUGACAGCUUUUUAUUAAUAGAUAGAUAGAUAGAUAGAUAGAUAGAUAGAUAGAUAGAUAGAUAGAUAGAUAGAUAGAUAGAUAGAUAGAUGUAAAAAAAUGCAGUAGUUUGUAGUUUCUCAUGCAAGUUAAGAUUUAUGAGAUUACUAUUGUCAUUUUGUGGCCUUAUCUUGUAAAUUUCUGAAUGUAUUCAUGUGUUCAUGUUUUUUCUUUCAAAUCCACAGUUUUUGUUUUCAUUUUACAAGUCAAUCCUUGUCAAUGUGAUUUUAAUCUCAUAAAUCAUCGAUUCUUUUGGAUUCACAUUUUGACCCUGACUUUAUUCCCGUUAAGUUGUAGCUUUUCUAAAAUUUUUGGUAUCAUUUAUGAAAUCUCGGUUUCAUAUUUUUCUUUUGGCCCCUUCUCUUAACUGUUCUUUCACAGGGUUUCAGAACAGGAGAGAACUUUUGAGUUGGGUUCAUUAAUAUUUGAUUUGCAAGUUUCAGUUGAGAUGACAUCUUUAAAUCAGAAAGUUGUAAAUGUACGCUUUUUGAUGAGAUUGCAGCACUGGUAUGUUUCAUGCAUAUUCAUUGAUGGUGUACAUUUUUCCAUGCAUUUGUUGUAAUUUCCUUUUAUCAAGCUGUCAGCUGGUCCUAAAUACUGCAGCCCAAGUGCUGACCAGAACCAGGAGAAGAUUGUGGACUAAGUGCCUUUUCUUUGUCACAGGCUUUUCCAAUGAAUUUAUCCGUAGACUAAUCUAAAACAAACAAACAAACAAAAAAAAAAUUGGUGAGAUGUGUCUGCAUGGACAUUUGCUGUACUUUAUUUUGCAUGAAGUAGAUGCACAUUAAUAUGUUUGAUAUGAAAAGAGAGAAAUCAUGAUGACCACUUCACACACCUGCAGAAAAUACCGUCGCAUUUAAAGCGAUGUAUGGGAAAAUAUGCAGACAGGGGCGUAGAGUACUGCUUCUUUAGGGCCCGAGCGUAGCUGCUAAGCAGCUGCGAGAGCCCUCUUGUUCCUGAUGGAUUCUUCUUUUGUUAUUAUUAUUAUUAUUUUUCCUCCGCUUUAAACUGGAAAAUGGCCCACUUCCCACUGGCGAAAACUCAUGAAAUUUGGCAGGACGACCGGGCCUGGUGAAAAAUUCGAUAUUCUGAAGUCGCCCAAACAAUAAAAUGCAAAAUGGCUCCAUAGCGCCCCCUAAGGUGGAAAUUCACACUAUUGACUGUCACGUCUGUACGUUUUGUCAUAUUGACACAAAAUUUGACACACACAUGUAUCUCAAUAAGAUCUACAAAAAAGUCAGUGCGGGCGUAUCUGUCAAAUGUACGGUUAAAGGGUUAUUUCGCAUUUUUUGCCGAUCCGCACACAUUGGAAUUUCGCUAACUCCUCCGAAGGCUUUCGUUCCACCGGCACCACAUUUGCUCAGGCCAAUCUACACCCCAUGGCCAUUAAAAGUUGUACAAAUCAUGACGCUGCACCCCACGGUUUAGGUUCUAGGGGGCGCCAAAGAUAACCCAAAAAUCCACAUUCUUAAAAGUCUUAUAACUUUUUAUUUUUGUCCUCACUGCCCUCCAAGUUUUCUAGGAUGAUGCAAUGUCCAGCCAUCAACACAUUUGUGAAGGAAUUUUUACUCCCCAAAAGAGCGCCCCCCCAUGGCAGGAGAAAAAAGUCAAUUUUUUCUUGUCCCCUUACAUGAAAAUACACAUUGUUGAGUGUCACGCCUUAACGCUUUGUCAUAUUGACACAAAAAUUGACAAUCAUGUGUAUCUCAAUUAGAUCUACGAAAAAGUCAAAGAGCGCGUAUCUGUAUAAUGUACGGUUAAAGGGCUAUUUCGCAUUUUUUGCCGAUUCGCACACAUUGGAAUGUGGCUAUCUCCUCCUAAGGCUUUCGUCCCACUGAUACCAAAUUUGCUCAGGGCAAUCUACACCCCAUGCCCAUUCAAAGUUGUAAAAAUCAUGACGCUGCACCCCACGGUUUACGUUCUAGGGGGCGCCAAAGAUGACCCAAAAAUCCACAUUCUUAAAAGUCAUUUUGGCCACUGCAGGAGUACAGAGUACUGCAGUUCUAGGGGGCGCCAAAGAUGACCCAAAAAUCCACAUUCUUAAAAGUCUUUUUGGCCACUGCAGGAGUACAGAGUACUGCAGGAUACACACACAUAUACACACACGCCAACACACACACACACACACACACACACACACACUCACAGUCUGUUUUUUAGCACCUGCAAAAACAUGCUGUUUACAUAUUUGACAAGAAUGCAGAGGCUUCCUUUUGCCCCUGAAAAAAAUCAAAUUUCAAACACAACUUGACUGUUCAUUUCUCCAAAAGACAACCAUGAAUCUCCAUCCAAACCUGAAGCAGAUAGUUGGUGCAUGUGUACAGUAACCUAAGGGGAGUGAGGUGACUAUUUCUGAGGAGAACAUGAGCAGUGAAGAUUCACCUUGGAGCUAGAACAGGGACGUGCACAUGAUUAUACAGGGGCAGGGGCUCAAGUUUUUUCCAGUCAUUUAUACAAUAUGGAAAUUAAUGUGAAAUUAAAAAACAAAGUAUUAAUAGAAAGGUUAUGACUGUCCUGUGUAGAUGACAGUGAUAUCCAAUAGGCUAGGCACUCACGAGGCUGGCUGUGGCAAGUGUAAGUGAAAGCAACACGCACUGGCAGGAAGAACAGCAAACGCCGAUGAAGGAAAGGGUCUUUGCAGUGAUGGGCGUUAGCAGAGAGGACGAUGGCCAGAGGACGCGAAUGGGACGGGGAGGCAGCGCGUUGGGGGGGGCAGCGCGACACGGCUCGGGCCCGCCAGUGCCCCAACGGGGCCCUAGUUUGUGCACUUGUUUCCCUUGUCUAUAAAGCCAUGUGAUGUGCUUAAGUGUUUGUGAUCAGAGGGAGGAGUAAAUUAGAUUAUUAAGUGCUUUAACAGCCUGUGUUUCAUGAGGUAAUAAUAAGUAUAUUUGGUGAUAAUUAUGAAGAAGUAUCUGUGGAUGCUCUCUCUCUCUCUCUCUCUCUCUCUCGUAGGCUCUCAUUAGAUAAUCACUGACUCAUCCUUUACUGAGGAGGCACACUGCUGUUCAUUCAGCUCCAUGUAGUGGAGUGUUUAAUUAUUGUUCACUGAUGCCUACUCAUGUAUGCAGAGUGUAAGACAGAAUUACAACAGGAGCAGCAGCAGGGUGUAAAACAGAUGAUAAACCAGAGAGUGACUCCUUCAGAAACACCGUCGUAAAGUCCACUCACAGGCACCCUUGGAUAUAAGGUAAUACAGGUAAUUUUAACUUUAGGCUCUACUUUUUACAACUACAGGGGUCUGCAUGACUUAUAGGGAUGUCCGCAGUAGAGUUCUCCCUCUUGCAGCAGGUGAACAGGCUGUAAUGGCUGCGGCAUUAUCGUUGAUGGAUCAAAGUGUGUCACUAGAAGAUCUUAUUUUGGUCCCUGACAGGCUAAGAAUGUUAAUCUAAGUGUCUGACAGCAUUAUAGAAAGAAUAACAGUGGUUUUUUUAAACCAGGGAUAGACUUUAAACCUCUAUUUCUUUAAAAAAAAUUAAAGGACUGAAUUAGGGAUUUUACCCGGCACCUUACAGGGGUUGCUAGUCCUCCUUAAUGUGUUUUUUUUUUUUUUUAAUUAUUAUUAUUUCUGUUAGUGUUUGUUGUAGUGUGACUUUUGUAAUCUGAAGGGUAAAUUUGGAUUCAAAACAAUUUUUGUAUUAAAGAAAAAGUCAGCCCCAAACUUUUCAAGGCGAGGGUAGACCAGCAACUCCCAUUUCCUGCAAAUUAAAAUAACUGUUUUGGUCAAUAUAGUCUAUUCAUUUCACAGAGCAACAUGUUUUGGACAGUUUUCAAUAUUUGCCUGAUUCUCAGCCACGAGGAGACAUCUUGUUCUAUAUCCAGGAGUUGUUGGUCUACCUCUGUGUUGCUUUUUUUUGCUAUUUAGCCAUUUAAUUUUCACAUAUUGUCUGGUUUUAAGUAGUUUCUCUAUUUUUACUAAAAUAUAAGAGAGAAAACAUCUUAUUGUGUAUCUGUGUAUCUUGUUGGCCUACUUGUCUCAGUUUAUUAGUUUUUUUUAAUAUGCAAUUCCAUAGAUAGUCUGAAUGCAACAAAAUAUAUCAGGGCAGAGGUAGAUCAGCGACUCCUUUGUUCCCUGAGGUGAAAUCACUGUUUUGGUCAACAGAAUCUUUUUAUUUUAAAACAGAGCAACAACUUUUGGACACUUUCCCAAACUUUCCCCUUCUGAGCAAAAAAAAAUAAGGUGAUGGAUAUUUGGGAGUUAGCAGUCAACCUUAAUCAAUAAGUUUGUUGUGUUAUGUAGUUUUAAAUAGUUAGCUUGGUUCCAGAUUAAGCUAACAAGAGUUUUUGUCAAAAAACAACAACAAAAAAAUCAAAAGAUGGCAUCGACAGAUCAUCAGCUCCUAUGUUCAAUGGGAUAAUAUGACUGACGUUAAAAUGGAGUUUUGAAAACCUGUAAUUCAUUAAGAAAAUAAACAUCAGCAAAAAAAUAAAUAAAAAAUCCAAACCACUAAAUACGGCUAAAAAGCAAUAAAAAGCUGCCGACAUCGGUGGGACUGAGGAGUCGAUGCUGCAGAGAAACAGAGCUGUCCUAACGAAGCCCGAGGCCUGAGUGUCACAUUAUUCAUCUGCAUCAAUUUAGCCCCAAAUAUAUUUGAUUUCUGCCCCACUUGUUCAUGCACAGAAGAAAAAAAGAUGUUAUCUCAUACAGGAAAAUUACUCCUAUCUCCAUAUUUUGGAAAAUGAAGUUAUCUCCUUUCCAAAAUUGGUUCCAGAUGUCAUGUGCAGCUUCUUUUUUCAUCAUUAUGCAGACAAUAGAUGUGAUCUUUUGGUUAUGACUCUUAUUUUCAGAGAUUUUUCCAUUUUUUAGGGUGUCUUGGGGCAGUAAAAAGUAGGCCAGUUGCAGAUAUCACUUUUUUAAAAUGUGAUGUGUACAUGCAGUCAUGACAUUGGUUUCAUCACAGCUGUGGGACAAAAAAAGAGGGAUCUUAGCUUGGUAAGGUCAGAGAAAUUUAUAUAAAAUCCCUGUAGAAUUAAUCUGUGGUGACCCGUGUCCAGACGAGGGAAACUGAGUACCAAAUAUUUUGUCCGCCAUUAGGAGUCUGUUUGAGCUACGCUUUGUGUGGUCCCUCCCCCAGGACCUGUUUGCCUUGGGUGACCCUACCAGAGGCAUAAAGCUCCUGACAACAUAGCUUCUGGGAUCACAGGGACACACAAACCCCUCCACCUCUGGAAGCGUACACUGAAAGAAAACAAAGGCGUUAGUGAUGAAUUGGUAAUGAAUGUAUCACUCUGUUAUUAAAUGAAUGGAUUAGAAAAGUUUAUUACAACUGAUUCUUUAACAAUUAACCAAUAAAACACUUCCAGAUAGUUAAAACCAACAAAAGGGAAGCAAGAGCCAGCAAGAGGGAGGCAGUCUACCAAAGGAAGUGUCCCAAGAGUAAACUUACCCACCAAACGUGAACUCACUACAAACCAGCGUAGACUAUGGUGCCCCAGUGCGCCUACCACUGCAACAAAAGGUGCGGGGAACCACUCAAUGUGCCCAGCCUCCACUGCACUGUAAAGGACGAGAAAGAAAAGUUAUACAAAGAAAUAAUAAAAACUGUGUAAAAAUUACUAAAUUUCAAAAAAAAAAAAGAAAAGAAAAAAAGUUUGUUCUACCAAGAUAGUUAAUUACAAUCAAAUGACUAAAAUGCUGACUAAACAAAAACAAAACAAACUCUAAAAGACAAAAACAGCGGCCUAUUGUGUCUGUUUGGGUACAUUUAUCCAGGGGCCUAUUCUACGAAGCAAGUUCAACCUAGCGAGGUAACCUUGGAGCUACCUCGCUCAACUUAGCGCGGUAGCCAGCAGUCUCGCUGAACAGUUUUACGAUGCUGGUUAUCAGCCUCAUAAGUGGAUCCAGCUUUGCUAUGAGUGUGUGCACGCAUGUAAGGUGGAGCCCGCCACAUCUGACCAAUCGCGAACAUAGACCGGUCUGGAGCGUCAGAGCAGGCCUGAGAGCGAAGGACCGCACACUUUACAAACGAGGAGCAGAAGAUGAAAGUAUGAAGAAUUCAAAUCUAUCAUAAACCUCAAAAGCAACACCGUCGCCGCUGCAAAAGCACGGAAGGAAUGCUGGCAGAAAAUUGCAGACAGUCUCAAUGCGUAAAUAUAGUGCGCAAAAAAUCUUUGAUGCUAUUAUCACCCAUGCGCUUUUAACAUGCAUCAGACAUGUCUAAUUCAUUUCCAAGAUGAAUUCAUUCAUUUGUUCAUUCCUAUCGUGUUUACAUUUUUUUGUGUGAUAUGUAGGCCAUAUGAGCCUUUCAUAAAGGUGGUCAUCCGGAAAAGUAAGUGGGUCCGUGCGAUUACCACUUUAAAAGAUACAAAAAUGCAAUUUCAACCUGCAGCUACAGAGAAGAACAGGCUCCCUAAAGUGCUGCACAUUCACGACUUGUAUUUUGAAAACCGCAAACAGCUCCAAUCUUCAUCAUCUGCAGAGACUCUGACAGCUUCCCGCUCAGAGCCACACUGCAACAGAUUAAACGAUUUUUUUUUUUUUAAGAUACUCGUGGAUGUCUUUAUCUCUGCUCUCAACAGGAAGCCGAGGCUGUGCUGCUCUGCUGUUUUCAGAGACGCUCUGCAGAGAAACAGGGAAAAUAUCAGAAUCGUUAGCAGGAUGUAUCUGCAGGAGGGAGGACAACGUCAGGACGAGAAAAACCAAAGACUAAAUCUGCUGGAGAGGUUUUAAGCUGAAGGCUGAAAAAGAAGCAGGAAGAUGUUUUGAUGUCUCUGUUUUAACACUCAGUUUAGACCACAAACCUUUUAAAGACUCAGAAGCUUUUUCCUUGUAGAUUCAAGAAGAAGUGGCUGGAUGAGUGAAGCAGCAGAGACUUUUUUCUUUGUUUAUAUUAGUUGCAUAACUGUUGUCUGACAGCUGCAGUAUUCUGAAAACUAACUGGGCACAUAGUUUAUUUAUUAAAUCUAUAAACCCUGACUAUAAAUUGCACAUUUACUGUCACCUCCUCUGCAGAGCCCUGCAUGAGUAAAUCCGCCGAGAGUAAACCUGCAGCUUAAAAUUUUGAAUAUUCAGCUCAUUAAUUACGCAGUCUAACUUUUUAAAAACAAAAACAUUUGUAUGUCCGUUUAUAGAGAAGUAUUAAUCAUAAAGUCAAUAUUUUGUCAAUAUUUUUUUCGAACCCGUAUCCUGUCAAUACAAGCGUUCCUAUUAGAUAGAUAGAUAGAUAGAUAGAUAGAUAGAUAGAUAGAUAGAUAGAUAGAUAGAUAGAUAGAUAGAUAUACUUUAUUGAUCCCAAACUGGGAAAUUCUCUUAAAAUUGGUAACGCUUCACGAAUUUGCGUGUCAUCCUUGCACCAGGGGCCAUGCUAAUCUUUUCUGUAUCCAGCAACGUUUUUCCAUCCAGGGUUAUUGCGGCAUUUAUUUUUUUGGAUCGUUGGUUGAUUUUUUUAAGUUUCGCAUACUGUGUGUCCACUUCUGACUAAUCAGUUUGUGUGUUGUUGCAACGUCAGAUUCGCCGGUAUGUCCAACAUGGCCGACCGGCUGAUUGUUUACGUGUCGGAGAACAGAGUGCUUUUUGAUAAAAAACACAAAUAUUACAAAGAUAACGACCUGAAGGACAACUUGUAGAGAGUCAUAGUGUCGGAUUUCUCAUAUGACGAUGGUUUGUGUGCUUUAACAGUUUGCUAAACGUCUUUGUUUUAACUUUCAUCUGUGCUAAGUAACUUUAGCUCGUAAGCUAACCUGUUCAGUUACAACAUACCAUAUGUAUUUUCACUGUCUCAAACUCAAUCACGUUGCUGUCACAGCACCAUUAGGUCUCGGUUGUUACCUUACGUUUAUGGAUUAUAGUUUAAUGUGCUUAUCUGGUACUGGCCCCGACUCAGUACAUGCUAUCAUGACAGACAGACAUCUCAACACUAGUGUCUAAUCAGAACUGAAAAACAGUCAGUCUGCUGUUGUGUCAGUCUUCUCGCUUCCAACCCGGAUGCGUCUUUUUUCCCCUCCGGAAAAGUCGCAAAAUCGCAUUGGGCUUGAUGUGUAUAGUCAGUUGCGUCAAAAUUCGCCUUAGAAUACUUUGUGAUUUCGCAUACCAUAUUCGCGACGUGUGUAAGGACCUUUAGCCCAAACUGAUGAGCGUAUUUACGUUGAUUGUUAUUGUGCCAAAUUAGCCAUGUUUACAUGGCUAAUUUGGCUUGAAUAAAUGCCCGCACAAAUAAAUGGUCGGGAUAAAAAUGCAUCAAGGAAACAUACCGAUCAGAAAAUUCUCAUCCAAUUCGGCUCAAUCAGAAAGAAAUUGUAUUCCGAUCGAGACGAGUGGUUUAUGCCGAUUGUUAUUCCAAAACGCGUCCAUGUAAACACUUAUUCUGAACAUAACUCUCUUACCUGACUGGGUCUUCACUCUUUAACCUUUAGCUUAUUUAUUUAGGCCAGUACAGGAGGUUUCAUUAUUAACACUCUGGUGUACAACACAACUGCAGGUGCCGUGUCUGCUCCUCCGGUAACAUAACAAGGCGUACAUACAGCGAAAUGAUGUCACAUCUGCCUGACAGAGCAACCUUCGACAGAACAGUAAACUAAAUAUGCAAGGGCGCCAUCUAGUAACAACAUUUAAUUGAGGGAAAAAAACAGUAUUGAAUUAAGUGAGCCACUACUGCGUUUGUUGGUUUGUUAACAGCACAGGCGUCAAUACAACUCUUCUUCUGCAUUUGUUUUACUGAAAAUAGAGAACUCUGCACAUGUCAAAAUGCUUCUAAUCUGAAUAAAACUUGGUGCAUGUAUAUGCAUGUCAUGAUCGGAUUAUUUGAUUUUGCACCCAUUGUAAACAGUGGAUUCAGAUUAUCCGAUUUUAAUCCGAUCAAGAAAUUUUGCCCGUGUAAACGUGGCUCUGUUCAGCUCUUGCAGGUGCAGGUUUGGGUUAAAGCUGAAUUAUUUAAACACACGUCUUCACUUUCCUGCAGGAUUCUGACGGACAUUUCUGAAAACUAAAGCAGUUGUCAUUCUUGUGAUGUAUUUCUCAGCUCUCAAGACAUUUCACUGAUAAAGCUUUAAAUUAAACAUGAUCUCCGGAUGUUUCUUUGAACAGCGCACACACGCCUCCACCAUGUUCGCUGCUGCCUUUGACCUUUGUGGUUCAGUCUGGUUUUAUCUCUGCACACCGCCGGCCUGCACAAUAUGUCUUUCACGCCACUGCGGCUCUCCACUGCUUAUCAGUCUGAGCGCAGAAUAAUGGAGCAAAAAAAGCUUCUGUUUGAGAUUGAUAAAGGAAGAGAGAGCGCUUUCCCCAUCAAACACUCAGGCUUAUCUGAGACGCUCGUCUGGAGAGGUGGUCGAAUGGCGUGUUUGCUCUGAAGAGCCCAUCCGGCCUGUGUGAGUGUUCAGAGAGGUGCAUUGAGUCCCAGCUCCUGAACACACCGUAUUUAUUAAACAUCAGGGUGUCGCCUCAGAGCCGCUCCUCUGUACUGAACAGAUGGUCAGACCAUCAGUGUGGUGCUGAAACAAUGGCUGCUCUGAGACUGGGCUAUAGAGAGGUGCUUGUCGGAAAUAGGCCAGCUCAAAUCGGCCUAAAGUGACAUAGAAAGCUCUCAUUGUGUUAUUGUGAGCAGCCACAAGAGUAUGUGUGUGUGUGUGUGUUUGUGUGUGUGUGUGUGUGCAGACUACUCACGCUGAGAACAUCCAUUUAAAGAAAAAUCAGCAGAAAAUGCACAGACUGGAGGCUCUCUGCAGGUGAGGCCCGUUUAGUUUGAUGUAUUCUUUCUGCUGCUGCACUUUGGAGGACUGUUUGUUUAGCAGCUCCACCAGAAAGGGUUCAGUCGAAAGGGGACACUAAUAUUUUUAACAUCUGCUCUCUAGGUUGAUAGAUUUAGGUUUCAAAUGGGACAAAAAGUUUUGCUGGGUUGAUUCUGGAGCAGGUAAACUGGCUGUAAUGUCCUCACCAUUUAUCUAACUCUGCCAACUAAAGGUCAUAGUUUCUUUUGUCCCUUGCAGGCUCAGGUAGUUAUUCUCAGGGUCUGAAGACAUCACAGGAAGGAUCCCUUAUUUUAUUUGUUUUUAUUGGCCCUGGAAACUAACCCUGCACAAAGUUUUCAUGAACAUUUAAACAUUUAAAAAAAAAUCUGUUUUAUAUCAGGUUACAUUAACUAAGACUUUCUAAACCUUUUAAGAAAUUGUAUGAAUCUUAAAAAAACAGUUUUUUUUUAAUUUUGUUGACAUUGCAUAUUGUGUUUUUUUUUCAUAUUUAUGAAUAUUUUUUAAAGUUGAGGACAAGUUUUGGCUUUUCUGGAACAUUAAAUAUUAUUUUAAAAUAAUUUUAAAUUUUAUAAAGUUUUUAAAGUUUUUAUUCGUUACAUAUUUGAGUGUUACAUAUAUAUUUUGCACAAUUUGUUUUCUAGGAUUUUUAUAGGUUGAACAAAAUGUUUUUGUCUCAUAUUUUGUAAAUUUGUGAAUAUAACAUUUAAUAAAUAUUUUUUGGAUUUUCUUUUUACAUAAUGUGAUUGUUUUUGUUUUGUAAAAGAUUUUUAUACUUAAGUGUUUCAAAAAAACAUUUCUAUAUUUCAGAUGAUGAUGAUGAUGAUGAUGAUGAUGCACAAACAAUCCAUGUUGCAUGAAACUUUUUCUUUAUUCAUUUUUUACAUUUUUUUUAAUCUUUUCUACAUUUUGUAAUUUUCCAAAUUUUUUUAGACUUUUUAUUUCUUAUUUGUCAAUGUCAAUGUCAGCUUUAUUUAUAUAGCACUUUUAAAAACAGCCAGUGGCCUACCAAAGUGCUUUACAGUAAAAUAGCCAGAGACCAUAAAAACAAUAAAAGCAUAAAAUAUAUUAAAACAUAAAACAACAAUAUAGAUAAACAUAGCACAUACAUAAAAUACCCAAUAAAUGUAGCUAUACUUCCCCAAAAGUUAAAGUAAACAGGUGCGUCUUCAGAAGUGUUUUAAGAGUGGAAAGGCUGUUAGCAGUGCACACUUUAGGAGGCAAAGCGUUCCACAAAGUGGGAGCCAUGACAGAAAAUGCUCUAGCUCCUCUCAAUUUUAAAAAGGAUUGAGGAACGUCUAAAACCACCUGACUAGCUGAUUUGUUUGUUUUAUUAGUGAAACCUUUGAUGGAAUAAUGUUAAGUUUCUUGAAACGUCUCUGAGUCUGAACAAAUCCUUUUAUUUUUAUUUUUAUUUAUUUUUUUGAGUUCUAUAUUUAGGGUUAAGAAACGUUGCAGUUGACUCCAGGGCCACCAUACCACACAAACAUUGCUUUCCUGAAAGCCUCCAGGCUUACUCUGUAAAAACAGUGAUUUUACUCUGAAGGUUACGGAGUUGGUUUUUUGCUUUUUCCGCCUUCAGACGUCUUUAAAAAUGAUGUUGCAGCCACAACAGUUUAUCUGCUACUCGAUGAGGAAAUCUUGACUCAAGCACUUUGUGAAAUGUUUGCAAAUGUCUACUGGACUCUAAAAUGUUUUAAAUAAGGACCUCAUUGAUGUCUGGUGAACAGCUGACCUAAUGAAAUGUUAAAUUUUCUUGUUCUGUCUGCAGCUUCAAUGAUUACAGCUGAAUGGCUCAUUUUUACAGCUGUUAUCAGCUCCUCUGUGGCCACACCUGCUUCAUUAUUUCGGUCUCAAAUGAGGAAAUGUAGGGGUAAACAGAAAUUGGACUCAGGUUUUGUACACUCUGUACUGCCUGAACACUGUGGGCAGUCGGUGGGUGCUGCAGACCAACAGGAGCUGCUGCUGCUGCUGCUGCUCUUACAGGUGUUUGUUUGUAACUGUGAACUCAGAAAAAAACACUUUGGGCUCAAAUUGUUUCUAUGAUUGCAGAGAAACUCUCGCAGCAACAAAUUGCAGGAAAAUUGAAAAUGUCCGAUGUGGCAGGACAACAAACAGUGGUAGAUGCUCACAAACAGGUUAUUGUCGUCCAGGUUGAGUGUGAGAUACAAAGCCAGGAUGAUUGGCAAACUGCAGCCUGAAUUGGACGGAUGUUUUACUGCCUUUUGAUGGAAAAUCUAUCAAUCAAUCAUCUUCUGAGGUGACACACAGGGAGCAAAUCUCAGGCGUGUGACUUUCACAGCAUUCACAUUCAUAGGACUGAAGAGGCUCUUUAUUUUGGAGAGGUUUUUUUUUUUUUUUUUCCUUUUUCUGACUUUAAAUGAAGCAGAAGUUUAUUUAUUUCCCAGUGGGACAGUGAACCCAAAUCUGCAGCAGAGCUCCAGGAUCUGCUGCUGUUCAUGCAAACACUCCGAGCGCCUGCAGUGACAAAAAAAGUGACAAAGUUCAACCUCAGCUGCAGAGUUCAGACACAGAAUCACGCAUGUGAAUACAGAGGUAUGAGUAAACUGUUCUCCAUGAAGACCACAAGCAUAAAUAAUCUUCUUCAAACAAGAUCAGAAUGGUACAAAGGACUGUCUCUUUUCACUAUUUUCUCUAAUUAGAAACAUUUAAAUACAUCAGAGAUUAGGAUGCAUAUCUGCAAAAUGUCUAGUUAAAAUUCCUGAUAAAAACAGAAAACAGUCUCCGAUAAAUAGGGAAACAAGGGGUGCAAGAAUAGACAAAAACCAAGUCAAUUUAUGAUGCACUUUUUAAACAGGGCUUAAAAGAGCUCAUAAAAGAGGAUCAGACAGACAAACAAUGACAAAGAUUUAAAAGUUAAAACAAAAUAACAAUGUUGGAUAAAAGAUAAAAAGAUAUAAGAGACAGAUAAAAGAUAGCAAUAAAGAAAUAAAUGAAAGAUAUAAGCAGUAGAUAAAAGAUAAAUUAAAAUAUUUAUUUCACCAGAGGAAAAAAAACACACAAUUAGAUUAGAGAAAGUAAAGUAACACUGAAAGAAUAAAAUAAACAAAAAUGUAAAAACUUUUAACAAUCAGGAAGAUCCUAAAUGUGAUCAAGACUUAACCUGGAAUAAGAGGAUUAAAACACAUCCUCAGAGAAAGUCUCCUCAAAAGCAAAUCUAUACAAAUAUGUUUAGGAAAAGACAUUUUUAAGAAAGGAAAAAUGAAAACGUGACUGACCCGAUCUCCUUGGUGUCAGUUGUUCCAGAAAAUCAAGACUCGGACAUAAUUUUGCCCACCAAAAGUCCAAAAGUCAGCAGAUCUUUUAUGUCAGAGGGCUCCAGUUCGUGACCGGACAUGUCUGAAGUUAGGGGAUCAGAAACAUAGAUUCGAGUUUAAGUCCAGAGCUUUGGCUAUCUGGAGCCAAUGAAAGAAGCCCAAACAGGAGUGGUAUGCAUUUUGUACAAGGUGUUUGUUACCUGUGUUAACACAAAGAGAACCACGAAGACCUAGUCGUCUACAUCAGUGGUUCUCAAGUCCAGUUCUGGAGGCCCACUGUCCUGCAUGUUUUGGAUGUUUCCCUGCUCCAACACACCUGAUUCAAAUGAUCAGCUCGUUAUAACAGCUUGAUAACGAGCUGAUCCUUUGAAUCAGGUGUGUUAGCCCAAACACUGUUCUACAUGACCCUUGAAAUACUACAGAGACUAGUGAGCCAUAUGUGGGUGUUUCUGCUUGUUUUGCUAAAGUUAAACUAUUUUCCUGCAGAUGGAGGAACAUUUAAAUAUUUUAUGUUCACAAAUAGAGACAAAAACAAACUGACAGUUUGACAGGAAAGAGCUGGAAAAUUUAGAAACUGUGAACACUUACACCAACAUUUGUGUUUCUUUUGACUGGUUUGAAGCUCUUUGCUGAUUGCUUGAUGGUGUUUAUGUCAAACAUAGAAGGCACUUUUGUCCCAGUAGUAGAUAGAGGAGUGGACUUUUACCCGGACCACCUGAGUUCAAAUCCUACUCGAGCCUUUGCUAGUUUUAAUUUUGUGUUUGCAUUUUUGUCCUCAGCUGGAUGUCACCAAAACAAAGAAAACUUUGUUCAAAGUUCAAUUUGAGACAGUCAUGUGCACUUAUUUCUUAUCAUUGGUGUAAUUUUUCCUGAAAUGAGAAAGAAUAAUCUACAUGCCAUGCACUGGCUGUCCACUAGGGACACAAGGCAUAUCCCCAACUCACUUAAUUCAUAAACCGACCUGAAUACAAACAUGAUCUUAAACUGUUGGCAGUCUCUCUUCAUCCAAAUUAUGUUCCAAGAGAGUUCAGCCACAUCGUAACCAUACUUGUUUACAUGUAUUCUCCAUGAUAUCAUAGCGAGGAUAUAGCCUAAUCAUCUUGAGGCUUUUGUAAUCAUACCAGGAGACUUUAACCGUGUCACCCUCUACUCUCACCUGACUGAAUUUACACAGCUUUUCAUGAGUGUCCAGACUAAUGAAUUUCCCUUUGGAGAUAUAUAAAGUUCUUCAUUUCCUGUAACGCUUUCACACUGGGCAUGAACCAGACAAUGGUUUAGUUUGGUCCAGACUGAGACCACCUCUAUUGGUUCCCUGCUCCAACACACCUGAUUCAAAUGAUCAGCUCGUUAUCAAGCUCUGUAAUGGCUGAAUAACGAGCUGAUCAUUUGAUUCAGGAGUGUUGGAGCAGGGAAACAUCAGAAACAUGCAGGACAGUGGGCCUCGAGGACUGGACUCAAGAACGACUGGUCUAAACCAAGGUUCAAGGGAGGUUUCACUCUUGACAUUUUGCUUCGGACCAAAUGAAGUUGGUGUGAUGGCUUCUACUAAAAUUGAAAACCAUCUCUUUAAACAGGACAGCCUUGUCUGGGCAGCUUCAAGAGCUGAAUCAGGGUAAAGUCGCUCGAUGCUGAUAUGAACACGUAUAAUAUUUGCACUAAAGUAAAGAGCUCCUUCCUGAUUCUGCCUGACGCUUCAGAGCACUAGUUUGUUUGUGAGAGAAAGUCUGGAUGCUCUAAUGAAGAUGUUGUCAAUGAUAAAGGAUUAAAAGAGUGUGAAAUCCUCUCAGAGUGGGGGGUCUUUGUCAGAGCACACUGAGACGUCUCUAAUCAUACCUCUGACACCCUCUUCUCUCCUCCGCACACGCUUCUGCCUGCUGUCUGUCACCGGAGAGGGGGGAGUAAUGAUAACUUACAGAAUGGCUUCCUGACUAAACAUAGCAAAGCCCCUCCGGCGGCGGCUGAACCACUCCUGCUGUGCCUUACACCUCCUUAGCAAACACCAUGCUUGUCUAUUCCCCUCUUUUUGAGGAGGAGGAGGAGGAGGAGAAGGGACAUGUACCACUCUCUGCCAUGUGGGGGUGCUGUUGAACUUUGUCUUCCUGCAGGUGUGACACUCUCUUGUUGAUUCAGCUCAGCUCUGGAGGUUUAAAUUAAACAUUAAACGCUGAGGAAAAUGAGACGAGGGGAGAGGGAGGACGAGUGAAACAGAGGGAGGUAAAAAAAGAGAGAGAGAGAGAUUCUAUUCAUGAAACGUCGACUUUCUUUCUUUACUAAAUCUGACAUAACACAGUGGGUGGAUGAUUCAUGGCUCAUCAGGGACGUUCUGUUUUAGCAAAGCAUGAAGAUUUCACCGUCUUGAGACCUCUUACUAACAGUGUUACAGUAAAUAUAUGAAGCACCAGGAGGCUUAUUCAAAACGCUACAAGAUUACCUGCUCAGACAGGAAGAUACACCCUUUAUCACCAGCAGAUCAAACACAAGUGGAAGACAGAGGGGUCUCAAAUGUUGGGUUGUUGUCCAAAGUUGGGUUAGUUAUGUUUUUAAGAAGGUCAGCUAUGAAAGCUUCAAAAUAACCAAAGAGUGCAGACAGUCUCCUCCAGACCUGGAUCAGUUCAACUAAAACAUAUUUCUGUUUGACAAGGAUACUCUUUAAUUUUGCAACAACUUCAUGAAGUCAAAAGUGCAUUUCCCUGCGCAGGAUCCCUGCUUUCAUAUCAUUAAAGUGCCGUAUCAGUGUAUUUUUGCAGCAAAUAAGCAGGCUCUCAUCUCUGCAACAUAAAUACAUGUUCAAUCAAAGUGACUGUUGGAUCAAAAAGUUCUUAUUUUGUCCCUGACAGGCUCAGGUACAUGUAUACAUAUUUCAUACUAUUAGCGUCCUGGUUCAAUCUCCAACAGGGACCAACCUGUGAAAGUUUCCACAUGCACAUACCUGAGGUCACUCCGGUUCAAAGACAGGAUUUUAGAAGGAUGUUUUAGUGUAAAAUUAAGUUGGGGUUAAACACACUGUAACACCAAGUUAGACACCCCCUCGAGAGAUGAACGUUGCAGACCGCUUGCUUCUCUACGUAUACCAACUUUAGUAACGACCGCACGAUAGCAAUACACAGCGGUCUACGUCUCCACGUGCAAACCUCAACCAAAAAGCCACUCUAUAGCCACAAAUAAUGCUCAGAACAACUUCAUCAACAGUACAUAUGGGGUCCCAGCCAUAGUACUAGCCAUCAAACAUUUUUUUAGCUUUGUCUGAUUUUCUUGGCAAAGAGACCAAACACAACUCACCCACUCUCCUUCCAGCAGCCGCUUGUUUGUGGGGGGAGCCCUGACGAGUUGAUCACUGAGUGAAGUUGAGUUUCACAGCUCAAGGAAGAACAUUUACGAUUUAUGAUUAUUUAUGAUUUAUGAUAAUGCUAAAGGUCCUUUCACACAGGGAGUUUUUUUUUCGUGCGAUUACUUUUAGGUGUCAAUAUUUCACGUUUUCCCAUCCUGUGAUUUUUCGGCAUUUAUUUUUUUGUAUCAUGGACAUUUUUUCCAAGUUUUGCAUACUUUGUUUCCACUUCUGACCAAUCAGAUUGUUGCAACGUCUGAUUCACCGGUAUAUCCAACAUGGCCGACCGACUGAUCGGAGAACAGAGAGCUUUUUGUUAAAAAACACAAACAUCACAAAGAUAACGACCUGAAGGACAACUUUUGGAGAGUCAUAGUGUCGGAUUUCUCAUAUGACGAUAGUUUGUGUGCUUUAACAGUUUGCUAAACGUCUUUGUUUUAACUUUCAUCUGUGCUAAGUAACUUUAGCUCGUAAGCUAACAUGUUCAGAUACAACAUACCAUAUGUAUUUUCACUGUCUCAAACUCAAUCGCGUUGCUGUCACAGCACCAUUAGGUCUCUGUUGUUAUCUUACGUUUAUGGAUUAUAGUUUAAUGUGCUUAUCUGGUACUGGCCCUGAGUCAGUACAUGAAUACAUUAGUGCAUGGUGCCAUGAAGUGGGUCGCUUUGAUGUCUCCAAACCAGGGACCUUUUUUCUUACAUAAGAAACUUUCGGUAAGCCUUUUAAAAUUUAAAAUUACAAACAAACCAACAAGACAUUUCAAAAGAUCUGUGUCAUGAAAAUCAUUUUGUCGAUAAAGUCUGGGAUCCUUGCAAAGAGUAAAAAAAAAACAUCUCCAUCUUCAAUGAAAAGGUCUAUUACCGCAGGGAAACAACCCCAAACUAAAAGAUCGCCUCAGUCUGUCGUUCUUUUCAGUUUUCCUUUGCACACCAAGUUGACAGUUGUGUUUGGUAAAAUCUGUAAAUAUCGGAUAAAACCAUGAAUGCAGCAAAUUUAUCCUUUCUGUGCAUCACAUCUCUGCAGAUUUUUUUCUUGAAACUGAAAAAUCUGUCAGCCUUCACACCUCAGUGUCUGAACAAACCCGGGGACUGACAGCUGAUGAGUGAGAUGUGCAGCUUUUGAACACAAAGCUGGAUGUUAUAUCAGCACAGAUGGAAGCAUGGUAUAGAGACAGGCGCUUUCAUGUGUUUUUGCAUGUGAGAUCUGAGCUCAAACAGCCUCCUUCCUCAUCUUUAACCCAGUCAGAGAGCUGCUGCUGUCAUGUCCUCCUCCUCUUGGCGAUGCUCCGUUACAGAAACAAGCUUCUGUGCAACAUUAAUAAUCCUUUGUGACAGAGCAGCAGCAGCAAACAUUCAGAGGCAAUAAAGACAAAGUAGAAGUACAUUAUAUUGUUGCUUUUAUGAAUAUAUAUCUGCCUCUUACAGCCACUCUGGAGACGCUGCAGUGAUGUUCUGCCCCUGGGCACGCUGUCAGGUAUUAAACACUUUGCAGAGAAUUUUCAAACAGCACUAUUUUUAAACUCUCCUGCCAAUUUGCACCCUCUCUGGGUGAUUACCGCCAGAAUAACUAUGCUAAUUGUUUAAUAAGCGCACUUUGCUCUGCAUCAAAGGGAGAGAUUUUUGCAUACUUUCUCCCGCAAGUUCAAAGCUGUCGUUAUGGCGAACAAAUGGCCCGACCGUAGAGGGAGCAGGGUGAGAGGACGGCCAUGUAAAAGCCGAAUUAAACCAGCUUAUCAAAGGGAAAACAUGCGGCUUUUGUCAUAGAUUUGCUGUUGAAAUGCUAUGGGCGCCGUCUGUGCUCCAGGACCUGCAAAUCUUAAUUGGGAGCUGGUGUCAAGUACUAAUGGGAUUUAUUUUAUUCACGUUCUCCCGGCUGUACAGUGAGAAAAUCACCUUUUUGUGCACCUGUAUCUAGGGCUGGGCGAUAAAAUGAUAACGAUUUACAGUAUAUUAAAAAAUAAUUUUCCUCAGUUUCAAUAUAAAACAUUUUCAAUAGUCGGCAUUCUGGUAGCCAUGUUUUGGUAGACUAUAUGAAUAGCCAAUAAAAAGAGGAGUUGCUCCGGGUUCGCUUUGCGCUGAACCGAUCAUGUGCUGAAUUAGAACCAAAUAGCAAACAACUACGUAGUAGACUGCAGCUACACGCAACCAUAGCACUUUAACACGUGUAGCCGACAGCACUGUUGGUGAGAAAAAAAGAUAAUGAGUGCUACCCCCGGCAGAAAUGCAGAUGAAGACUCAACAGAUGAUGACAUUGGCUGUAUCCGAAAUGAAUCACUCAAUCCGUAACCCCUGACCCCCAUAUGGGUUUUUAAUAUAUAGUUGACUGUGUAGUGAACACAAUCACCGAAAGUUUCAAACACUAUAUGGCAAGACGCAAUGCAUGACGGGAUGCCCACCACCGUUGGGUGACCAUCGGAUGGUCACUACAUUUUGCAAUGCUUUAUGGGAAAUUUUGAGUCACCUAUAUAGGGCAUUGGAAUUGAUCACUGAGGUUUCGGACACCCCUUAAAAUGGCACUAACCCCCAUGUAGUCGCCUAUAUAGGGGUUAGGGAUCCAUUUCAGACACCCAUUGUAUAAAACACUGUCACGAAAAUGUCGGUGGUCUGAAGGUAUUUUGGUUGUUUUGAGGUUGGACAUGACAAAGAUUCUUGUGCAGGGCAAAUUAUGUCAAGUACAUGUUCUUGCAAAGUUGGGGAAUACCUCAAAUCUUUUUCACCACCUGAAGCACCUGAUUCAAAUGAUGAGCUCGUUAUCAAGCUCUGUAAUGGCUUAAUAACGAGCUGAUCAUUUGAAUCAGGUGUGUAGGGCCUCAAGGACAGGACUUGACAACCACUGGUCUAGCGCAACGCCUUUUGACAAAACAUCGAAGAGCCACAAAGACCUCACAGAGGCAGAUGCUUAUUGUUUUGUCAAAAAACAUGCAACCAAUCAGCACUGUUAAAUUCCAUUUUCUAGAUUCUGAUUUAUAUCGAUAUCGACUGAUAUGAAAAAGACAUAUGGUGAUAAAUUUUUUUCCCAUAUCUUCCAGCCCUACCUGUACCCAUGGAUUUCUGAAUGCAGACAUGAAAAUCCACCAAAGGUUGAUCAAGUGUGGGCCUUUGAUUUCCCCACAGAAAAAAAAAAAAAAUCUCUCCUUUCCUCUCUGCUGCCUACCUGCCAAGCUGAAACCACUCCUCCUUCCUUACAGCACCCUGAGGGGAAGAGUAGGUGAGGAAGGAGGAGUUUUGGUGUGACAGACGUGGCGUUGGCCUCGGCUAAGGAAGCAGAAACCCCUCAGAGGUCUGAGUUGACUGGCAGUUAGUCGACAAGGUCACGAUAGCAAAACUGACUGCAUGGCUCAGAGCCACCGCAUUAAUCCUCUCAGUCGGUCUGCAGCAGCGGCACACUUCUGACAUCUCAGACACUCCAUUACAUCACAUCUGGCUCUCCAACCAGAGGAAGCACGAAGGUCUUUGUAUGCAGCUGCAGUGACACCACACUCUCUAAAUCCUCCAGAAACCAAACCCUCAAAAAUAACUCAUGCAUUUUCUUUAACAUGGAAAAUCCUUCACUUUAAAGAAAUCAAAGCGCAAACAGAACCAAGGGUUUAAACUCAAAAUGCUCAAGUGUUUUGGCACACUGACACUCACAGGUUUCACUUUGUCAAUGUCUCUGGUGGAUUUUUUCAUCCUGCAGCAGUUUAACAGGCGGCCACCUCUUUUUUUUUAACCAGUGGAAAUGCUGCAUUCACACUUAUCCAAACAGUGCUGUAUUUAUAGUGGAUCUUCUGGCCUGAUUUAAAGGGAUAUUCCGGCGUGAAUUUGAGUUAUGGUCAAACACAUCAUAAAAACGCCACUCUAUAGCCACAAAUAAUGCUCAGAACUGCACCUAACUUUAUCAACAGUACAUAUAGGGUCCCAGCCAUAGCAAUAGCAUCAAACAAAAAGUCGCAAAAUUGCAUUGUACAGUCAGGCGCAUCAAAAUUCGCCUCUAAAUAUUUAUUUAUUUUGUGUCGUAUAUUUGAGUCGUUCCCGGUGUGUUAGGACCUUUAGCGUCUCGGUCUGAUUGCAUUUCCAUAAAGUAAUGAUCAUAAAUCUUCUUCCUCGAGCUGCCAAACUCUGCUGCACUUGGUGAUCAACUCGUGAGGUUUGAGCGUGGAGACAUAGAACGCUGUGUAUUGCUAUCGUGCGGUCAUUACUAAAGUUGGUAUAUCUAAAGAAGCAAGCAGUCGGCAACAUUCAUCUCUCGAGGGGGUGUCUAACUUGUUGUUACGGUGUGUUUGUUUGUGGCAUUCACAUUAUAGUAGGGUUUCGCAGUUUUAAACUUAGCUUGCAAACCUUGCAUAUCAUUGACUGUAUGAUGCGUCUAUUAUCAAACAGGCACCUUAUGGUGUUUCAUUCACCGAAAAGGCAUCCAGGGGGAACUUUUCUCCUUUCUUUUAAGUGGAAAAAAACUGUGUGAAAAAACAGCAGUGGUGUCAUAUGUAACCCUAAAUAACAAUUCAAACAUGUGAGAUUAAACGCCAUUUUUGAUGAUGAAUUAUUCACAUUCAACCUUGAUGAGAACUGUGAAACUUUUCAAAUUAAAGUCAAAUGAACUCACCAAAGAGAGAAGACUAGAUUUCUUUUUACAACUAAACGUCUGUCUCUGAAAACAUUUACUAUUCUUGAACUUUUGUGAGCAGCAGUUACACUCCUUAAGAUCAUUUUGUCCUCAUCUUGAUAAACUUGGUUGCAGCUUUUUUGCUUCUGGAAUAAAUUUUUGCAGAUUUGCACAAUUUAAAUGCCUGUUCGUGCUUGUAAAAUUUAUAUAUAUAAAUUUAAUAUAUAUUUAUACUAUUUGAUGACAGUUUUUGGAUGCAAAUAAACCAGCAUGUACAUGUUUUUCUGUUGGAUUCAUCAGGUAAAAGAAGUGCAGGGAGAAAGAGUGUGGAGUCUAUCAUUGUGCAAAACUCUGAACACUUAAAAUGGAUGUAACUGAGAGUUUUCUCUGGUUCAAACACACACACACUCUGAGCCAAGCACGCUCAUUGAUUUCUCUCUGUAUUGUAUUUGAUUUAAUCCUCCAUAUUUUCGCCUCCUCCUGAUUCCAGAAGAAUCUCAUUGUUUCCCUCCCUGUUGUGCUUGUUGUCAUUUGGAUUCAGAGUUUGUGUCUCCUCCUGUCGUCCUGAUGUGUUUUUUUUUUCUGAGUUAUUGUUGCUUUUUUAAUUCUUCUCUCGAAGAUGAUCGAUUGCAUCUUUUCUCUCUCCCUUAUUUUUUUUUUCUUUAUAUAAACUGAAUUUUCUUUAUUGUCACUCGGCUGCUGUUUUAUGGCCGCACAAAUAAACUCUAAGUUGUUUUGUCUGAGCAGUAGAAACACAGUCUGUACCGUCACGUCUCAGGAUAACUUUAGAUGCGGCACUUUACUUUUCUAAAUAACUCCUCGACAUAUUUUAGUGAUGUGGGAAAGCGGCAGAGCUGUCAGACAGAAAGAAAUGACUGACUCUUGUACUUUAAUUAUCGGAAAAGAAGGAGCACUUGAAUAUGAAUAAUAUUUCCUCAUUUCUCUUUCGAUCUUAAGCCUUACAGCUCAGUCAAAACUGAAGCUCCAAAGAUGUUAAAAAUGACCUCUGGGACGUGAAUUCACGUGUUUCUUUCGGCAGCAGUGGCAUCAUGUUGUGAUCUUCUACAUAGGGACGUUUGCUCUGACACAGGAACACUUUAGUUAUUGAUUGCAGCCAUUAACAAACCUCCAAUGAGUUAUUUCUGAAAUUAACGCGAGACAAACAGGCUCCUGGGGGCCCUGAGGAGCGGCUGCCUUUGUUUUCUGUUCUCAGACUCUGCAGAUGGAGCCUCAGGGUGCAGCAGACUCACCUGAACACCUGUCUGCUGAUGGAUGAACCCCGUUAAACAGCGGGCUGAUUUAAUAUCCAGACUGUGAUUCUGCUCACUGAAGGCGGCGUCAAACUGAUCACUCAUUAAACCCGCAGGUCCAGUCUCCUCAGUUUUACUUAAUUUUUAACAUUCGGCUCAGUUUUUUCUUUCUUUCUGUAUUUUAAGAUCAAGUUUUAUCUUAAAAGACGCCACAGUGUUUACCAGCAAAGUGACUUUAUUUAAAUUUAAAACACUGCUUAGAUCACUACUAUGCAUUUUUUCAGACUCUACUUCCUCUCUGAUACUUCCUUAACCUUCCUCCUGUGUUCGCUUUCAACCCAUGUCUUAAAUCAGCUGUAAAUUAAACUACAAUCAAUUCUCCAUCAUACAAUGUGAUUUUUAUCCCUAGGUUAACUUGUUAGCCUUCAUUAUCCAUAAAAAUAUUGCUUUUAAGUUUUUUUGUAGUGGGUCUCUGGGCCUUUCUUUGUCAGUAUCCCGCUCACACAGACGUCUAUAAUGAAUAGAUCUCACGUCUGGACAUGCUCGACAUUGUUUUUUGUGCAGGGGAAAACGAGGCAAAAUGAGAAUAUCCUAAAUCUUACAUGAAUGGUAGUGAUGGAAAGAACAGUUCUUUUGACUGUACUGACUUUAGAAUCCGUUCAUUAAAAGGAUUCAUUCAAAAGACUUGUUUACUGAAUCAAAGUCAUUCGGAAGUAGUUCGUUUCGUUCACCAUGUCAUUCACUGACUGACAUUUCGGUCACAGACUGUUUCGUUCACAUACUGAUACAUGUCGUUCAUUCGCUGAGAGUGGAUGAUGGGACUCCGCCCGCCCACUUGCUCGCCAGCUGUGUGUCGUUCGCCAGAGUCAGAGGUGGCAGUUCCACUCCUGACCGGCAUGCCAGGCUCGUGGCUGAGCUCAACUGAAGUGAAAAAGGAACUAAUCAGGUCUCGGAGUGAUUCAGUUCACGUCGUUUACUCAGCAGUUCCUUACUUUUGAAUGAACGACACAACACAAAUGAAUGGGUGAGGAUCUGACUGUCAGUGUGGUGCCUAAUAGUGCACUUAUGACUUCAUUUUUGGCUCUAAUUAUUGCUUUAUAAUCUUACCACGACCCUAACAUAAUUUCCAGUGCCAUAAUUUCAUUUUAAAAUUUAAUAAAUUAUUAUUAUUAUUAUUAUUAUUAUUAUUAUUAUUAUUGUUGUUGUUUUUAUCAUUAUUACUUUUUUUUUCUUUUUUCUUUUUUCUUGAUUUUAUUGAAGUAGAGGUUCCUGGCCAAGUCCAAAAGUCUUGGUUUUAAAUUAUAUUCAUUUAAAACCAAAAGCAGGUCAGUGCAGACCCUAACACAGGUGGCGGGUGAAGAUCUUUACAUGAAUUUCGGAUCAAAAAAGAUCUUUCUCACUCUGGUGUACUAAAAUAUAAUUAUUUUAACCCUUUGUCGAGAACAGUGGUUCUCGAUUCCAGUCCUCAAGGCCCACUGUCCCACAUGUUUUGGAUGUUUCUCUGCUCCAACACAUGGGAUUAAAUGGAGAAUGCUCACCUUACUGUUAAACACAAUUUUUUGAACAUCUUUGGCUUUUAAGUUAAGCCAGAAAAAAGUUCCCUCAGACACAUAUCAUGAGAAAGAUGUUCUAGUUGAUGAUAUGAACACAGACAGGAUCGUGUUCGGUGUUCUGGUGUAGGUGGAAAGGUUAAAAUGUGCAGAAAGCAAGAACAGUAAUCAGCUGGUCAAACUUUUGUUGGCAGCUUGGGAUAAAAAAUGAUCAUCUCACAUAGUUUGAAUCUGGUUGUCGACCUUUUAACAGCUCCUGUGGGUCAUAUUGGAGACUAGAUCAGUGGAGUUGCCGGAUUCAAAAGUCUUGAAACAUAUUAGAAGAAGGCCACAGUGACUUACAGGUCAAGUAAGGUCAUUAUUAACAUAAACCUGAAACAACAACCCUCCACAAACCAUAACCAGAGAGCUUUUUGUCUCCUGAAUCGAACAUGACAUGUAGGAUGUGAACUCUGCUCUCUGCUGUCAGAGUCCUGAUCUUUGCACGCCCACCUUCCACUCUGAACACCUCUGUGCUGUAAAUAAAUACAACACUUCCCUCACUUGAUGGAAAUUGGAAUAGAAAUCCAGGCAGCAAGUACGUUUUCUCACUAAACACCGCUGCUACCACAAAUUAACUUCCCACAAACCUGUAUCUAUAUCAGACAUGUUGAUUCUAAUCAGUACAGCUGUCUGCGCUGCCCAUGUAUACGCCGCAUUUUUCCCUUUUAUAAUGAUCCCCACUGCCAACCCAAACAUAUUUCAGUCCUCUGCUUCUUCUUGUGCUUUUCAUUUCGUGAAUCCGAGACAUGCUGCUGUAGCCAUUAUGCUGUUUGAGACCGAAAUGUUGCGACCUUGUUCCCAUAAAAAUACCAACAUCUCUGUUUGAGUUUGCUCCGGAGGUGGAAGUAGACACGCACACGGCUCUGAGCCUGACGGAGAGAAAAAAGGUCCAUUUUAAGGAUAAGGUAAAAAAAAGAAUCAAACCAAAGGCUGUUGGUGCUGGCUAGGAGAGAAAUUGAGCUCUUAGAAUGAAUACAGAUUUAAAUGACUGAAAGUACAAACAGGGUCAGACUCUUUUAUCGAAGAAAAAACACUCUUGAGUCUUAGGAAACCAGAAACAGAUCUGAUUUUUUCUUUUUAAACACAUCAGACUGAAGGUGCUGGUUUUGCUUGUUGGUGAAAUCUCGCCCCCCCACAUACAGAGACUAUGAUCUAGGAGGUGUACAGACUGGAUUUGAUUCCAACCUGCAGCUUUUUACUGCCUAUCACUUCCCACCUCGUCCCUUCUCUGUCCUCUGUUCUACCUUUAGGUAAAGACAUGAAGACCUCAAAACAAACCCACCAAACUCCACUGAAAAAAACGGUCAUUUUACACUGAAUACAGGAGUUGCUCAUCAGCUGCUGCAUUAAAUAGAUAUUUUUUCAUUAACAUAAAGUAACUUUGCUUUAUCAGAUAAUGGGCUCCAUUUUCUUGCCUCGCCGGCAGCGUGGCGUGGCGUAGGCGCAGUAUAAGUCAGGUUUGCCGCGCCGACAAGGUGUGCCCAAGCACAUUUUGGUAUUUUGGUAAGCGGCGCAGCCUGGCAUAAGCAUCCCCCCUCCCUAACUCAGCUCCUCCCACUGGCGUAAGUCAUAGAGAGGGAAGGAAUAGAGCGUGGAGUGGGUUUAACACAGCGGAGACCUGUUUUCGCCAAUCACAUAAGCUCCUUUCCUCACCUUUCAAUCCGCCACCGGCGAGGCGUAUUACAAUUUUCAUGAAGUAGUCAAAGAGAUCAAGAGACAAAAUAGAGCCCAAUAAGUUUAAUCACAGAACAGCAUUUUUUACAUUUCCUUUUUAGAUAUACUAGACUUUCAUACCAGUAACCCCUGUGUCACUGUGAGGUAAAAUUACUCUGCCAACAGGGUUGUUUUCCUGCACAGACUUAAACGGGAUAUGGAAGUUGCUGUCUACAGCUGUCAUAAUGAGCUAGAUUUACUAGGAUAGAGAUCUAGGUAACUCAGAUCUAAGCUCGUUUUUAUAGAAAAAAAAGUGGCCAACUUUUUUCAGCCAACUCCCACUUAACUGGACACAAGCAUAUUUAUUACGAGGAAGCUUUGAAGACAGCAAUAUAAAUAUAUAUAUAUAUAUAUAUAUAUAUAUAUAUAUAUAUAUAUAUAUAUAUAUAUAUAUAUAUAUAUAUAUAUAUAUAUAUAUAUAUUAUAUAUAUAUAUAAACCUUUUUAACUUCUGAACUGAGUUGGGACCAUGAAUCUCUUUCCUCUUCAAGCUCUUUGUUGAUACUUAAAAGCAGAUCAAAUAAUUUGAAAAUAGGUCCAUAUUGAGAGGACAGUUUGCCUAGAGGUAAAAUACUGAUGAUCAAAAGACAAACCCUAAUUCCAGUGAAGUUGUGAUGUUGAGAAAAAGGUGAAUUAAGAACAGACACGAUGAUUUGUGAAUCCUUCUCCAUCUGUAUUCAAUUGAAUAUGCUUUAGAGACAAGAUAUGUUUUUUCAAAUAUUCACUCAUUUUGAAUUUGAUGCUGAAACAUGUUCCUAAAAAGCCGGGACAGGGUCAUGUUUACCCCUUUCCUUUAACAACACUUAAUAAGAAUCUAUGAACAGGGGACACUAACUGUUGAAGCUUUGGAGGUUGAAGUCUAUCCCAUUCUUGCUUGAUGGACCACUUCAGUUGCUCAACGGUCCGGGGUCUCUGUUGUAGUAUUUUGCACUUUAUAAAGGGCCAAACACUGUCAAUUGGAAACAAGUCUAACCUUAGCCUUAACCUUAACCCCAAGCUAGUCUAGUACCUGUACUCUUUGACUCUGAAGCCAGGCUGUUGUAGCACCAGCAGAAUGUGUCUUGACGUUGUCUUGCUGAAAUCGACGGAGCUCUAAUGGCAGCAGAUGUUGAUCCUUAACCUGUAUGUGUCUUUCAGCAUUAAUGGACCACCAAACAUAUAAAGUAGCGAUGUGUUGGUUGUGAACGAACCGGUUCAAAGAGCCGGCUCUUUAACGUGAACGAUGGGAGCCGGCCCCUAUCUGUAAGCAUUUUUUUUUUCCUUUUUUUCCGCAUGCACAUGACUGUCAUGUGCAUGCUGAGUGCAACCAAUCACACAAGGAUACACCAAGCAGAGGGGGGUCUGUAGAUGCAAUGAAAACAAUUGGCAACAGCAAUUUACUGAUAUUAGAAAAUGAAAUUUUUACUCAUGAAUACUUCAGUUCAAAGGAUGUAUUAAAUUAUUUAAGAGGUAUGCGCACACAUAAAUACAUAUCAUAAGCCAAACAACACUAAAUUUAGCUGAAUUAUAAAAUGCUUAAGAGGUAAGAUGAAGAGCUGUUUGGGAGCUGAAAGAGUCGGUUCUUCUUGGUGAGCUGAAUGAUCUAGCUCACUAAAAAGAGCCGUAAUUCCCACUACUAUCAAAAAUUUGAAAAUUCUGUUUAUUUAUCUGUUCAUAGUUUAGUUUUAUUGGUGAUUUUUUAAAUUAAUAAAUUUAAUUAGAAAGCUGCACCCCUUAGUGCUCUCUGAUUAUUUGACUAACACCCAGUUUGAGUUAAAGCAGCAUGUGGUGACCUUUGUGAGAACAUGUGCCAUAAAUUAGUAUACACAGCACACAUACAGAUGCUUUUUAAAACAGAUUUAAAGGCUGGAGGUGCUUGGAAAUGGGAAAUGUUAAACCACAGACACACACAUUAAUCUACCUCACACUGCUUUAUGGAAAAGAAAGUUGAUUAAAUAAAAUGCAAAUUGGGAUUUUACCCUCUUCUUUUAAUGAAGCUGUGAGACAGUGGGAUGCGAUUGCUUCUAUUAAAAUUCAGCGUGUGAUUGUAAUGUGUCUUACUGCAUGACCACAGAUAAAGCUGAAAAUCAUUUCCCAGCGUGAGCACACAUGAGGGGAAUGUCACUCUCAGUUUUCUGCAUCAUUAUUUGCAGUCCAUCAGAACUACAUGCUAAUAUUUGAACUCCUAAAUCAUUUAUUUCCCCAGAGACCUGCAUUCGAGGAUCAAUCAGGGGCUUUUAUUCUGGAGGGACAACAGCUCAGCCGUCAUCCCUCCCUGUCUUUCAGGGACUCAGAGAUACUGUAAGCUUUGGUAAAUAAGGAGGCUUUGUUGAAGCUGCUCUGGGACUUUUCCCUGCACAGGUGUUCAGUCUGUGUACCUUUGUCAGGUAACUGAGUCUGUUUCUGCAGAUUAGACCUCACACGCUCAGAGGUCUCCUGAGCCUCGAUGUUCUGCCUGCUCUGAGUCCAAACAUUUAUCAUGCAGACAGAUACUGUAGCGGUGGCUGUUUUUUCAGAGUGCACUAAUGUGUACCCUGUAUGAUGGAGACAUACAUGAUGUAUGAAUCAAAAGUGCUGAGUGUUGGCUAUGCUGUGUGUGCAGGUUAAAGAAACACAAAGAAAAGUUAAAGUGGAAAACCCUUUUUUUAUUUUUUAUAAAAGUACACUGCAUUUGCAAGAUUUUCAAGGUGGCACUUUUUUAAGGAGUUGGGUUCUGCACCCUCAAAACCUGAUUUGGUAGGGUGACCGUACAUCCUCUUUUCCCCAGAGAUGUCCUCUUUUUUGGGGGCUGUCCGGCCUGUCCGGGGGAGUUUAUAAAAACCUUCAAAUGUCCAGGGUUUUGUAUGGAAGUUUUGAGUUUAUGUAGAGUGGACUCACUGAGUUAGAAGCACAUAAAAAAAAAACACUUGACUAGACCAUAAAAACCCUCACAUUUAUUACGCAUGACUCGGCAACUCCACCCUGUGUAGUAGUGGAGCAGCUUGGCUUUUAACUGGUUUUAGUAGACGGCAUCACAUCACUCCAAUUUUAGCCUCCCUUCACUGGCUUCCUGUCAGUUUUAAAAAUUGAUUUUAAGAUUUUAUGGAUUACUUUUAAAGCACUCAAAGGACUUGCUCCGAGCUACAUUUCAGAGCUUUUGAUACCUUAUGAGCCAACUCGCAGCCUCAGAUCCUCUGGCGAAGGCCUCCUGGUCGUUCCAAAGUCGAGGCUCAAAACUAAAGGUGAUAGUUCUUUCUCCAUCAGAGCUCCUCGACUUUGGAACGACCUGCCAAAAGAGAUAAGGCGGACAGCAGAGACAGUCACUUCUUUUAAGUCAAAUUUAAAAACUCACUUUUACAGACAUGCUUUUAUGUGAUGCCGUCUUUUCUCUUUUAUCUCUUUUACCUCUUUUAUCUUAUUUGGACUUACUAUCCUUUUAGCCUUUGUUUUAAUUAUGUUUUCUUCUUUGACCUUUCAGGCCCUUUAUUGAUUUUAUGGUUUUUUCCUGCUCAUUUUUUAUCAUUCCAUUUUAUCAUUAAUAUUACCAUCAUUAUUAUUUUAUUAUGAUUUUAUUAUCAAUAAUAUCCUCUUUUAUACUUACUAUCCUGUUUCCUUCUUUCUGCCUAUUUUAUGUUUUUAUUUUAGUUCUCAUGGUCUCAUUUUAUGUUGUAAGGUUCUUGUAUUGUCUGGGUUUCUUAUGAAAAAUGAAAUUGGCCUUCAACUCAGAGGCCUUGUUUUUAACUGAGCUUUUGUUUUUAUUUUCAUCUGCUGAUGUUCUGUGCUUUGCAACUGUUUUCAAAGCACUUUAUAAACUUGUGUUUUUAAAAGUGCUAUAUGAAUGAAGUUUACACACACACACACACACACACACACACACACACACACACACACACACACACACACACACACACACACACACACUCAGAGUCUGUUUUUUAGCACCUGCAAUAACAUGCUAUUUACAUAUUUGACAAGAAUGCAGAGGCUUCCUUUUGCCCCUGAAAAAAAUCAAAUUUCAAACACAACUUGACUGCUCAUUUCUCCAAAAGACAACCAUGAAGCUUCAUCCAAACCUGAAGCAGGCAGUUCGUGCAUGUGUACAGUAACCUGAGGGGAGUGAGGUGACUGCUUCUGAGGAGAACAUGAGCAGUGAAGAUUCACCUUGGAGCUAGAACAGGGACGUGCACAUGAUUAUACAGGGGCAGGGGCUCAAGUUUUUUCCAGUCGCUUAUACAAUAUGGAAAUUAAUGUGAAAUUAAAAAACAAAGUGUUAAUAGAAAGGUAAUGACUGUCCUGUGUCGGUGACAGUGAUAUCCAAUAGGCUAGGCACUCACGAGGCUGGCUGUGGCAAGUGUAAGUGAAAGCAACACGCACUGGCAGGAAGAACAGCAAACGCCGAUGAAGGAAAAGGGUCUUUGCAGUGAUGGGCGUUACCAAAGAGGGCGAUGGCCAGAGGCCGAGAAUGGGACGGGGAGGCAGCGCAUUGGGGGGGGGCGCGACACGGCUCGGGCCCGCCAGUGCCCCAACGGGGCCCUAGUUAUUAUUAUUAUUAUUAGUGUCCUCUUUUUGGGGAUUCAGAAUAUGGUCACUCUAGAUUUGGUCUGUUUUAGUGUAACCUAGUGUCACUUGUUCUUGUAGUAGGUGUGUUGAAAAUUUUUUUUUCUGCUCCGAACAUAGUCAUUAAUGUUUUUAAAUAUACAUAAUGUCACGUAUUUAAACAAAAACUAAAGGAAUGCAUGUUUUGGAUGUUUCCCUGCUCCAACACACCUGAUUCAAAUGAUCAGCUCGUUAUUAAGCCAUUACAGAGCUUGAUAACGAGCUGAUCAUUUGAAUCAGGUGUGUUGGAGCAGGGAAACAUCCAAAACAUGCAGGACUGGGGGGGCUUGAGGACCACUGGGGAAAUUUACUUUUGAAAAAGUCCAAUUUACAAAUAAAACCAAAAAAAAAAAAAAAAAAAGAAUGAAGGAGCAUAAAGAAACAAACAAACAAACAAACAAAAAAACAGACUCAAAAGAUACUUGGAAAUCACAAAGGCAUCAGGUGAGGAAGAAAUAUACCGUGACAUCUACACACAAUGACCCAACAAGAUGGAGGGCAACACAAGGACUAAAUGCACAGGGUAACGAGUAACGAGAGGCAGGUGAGGCACUGAGACACCUGUGCAGACAAUCACUGAGGAGGGAAAACACCGGAUGUAAAUCUAAACUUGAAACGCAAUUAUGACUACUACAAAACAAAACAGGAAGUCAAACUAAACCAGACACACAAGAGCAAAGAACUACAAAAUAACCCAAGAUUUACUGAUAACUAAUCUAAAGAAUAAAACACUGAGAACACGAGGGAAACAGGGUCAAACACGAACUGGAAACACACAAAUUAGGAUCACAGGAAACAGAAUCAAUAGGAGAAAUACUACUUCAUUAUAAACCAGGAAAAAACUAAAUUAACAAGAACCAGUCAUGACGUAUGAGUAAUUUUCUGCUCCCUCCUAAAAAUGAUGUUCCCAUUUAAUAUUGACUGGAGGUCUGUUUCCUUCCCUCUUUUUUGGUUGGUUUGGUUGGUUUUAAUGAAACCUUACAUGUCCACCCUUAGGUCUUUUUACUUUAACAAUCUAAGAGGUGGUCUGGUCUGUUUUACGGUUUAUUGCUUGUUUUAUGGAGGUUUUAUUGCCUUCUUACCUAUAGUUGGAUCUGUACCCUUGAGCCUCUGUUUUAUGGUCUGUUUUCAGCUUUUCUGAACUGGGACUCAGUCUAUUUUGAGUUAACUUUGACUAAAAUAAUGUUUACCGUGGCUUCUGUAAGUAUUUAAAAAAAAAAAAAAAACAACAUGUCUGAAGCAAAAUGUUGGUUACCUAUUAACAAGUUAAGAUGCACCGAUUAUAGCAUGGUGCACUAAACUCACAACAUAGUAAGGACUUGACUUAACACUGUAACACCAUAGCUGGUGACAUCGACAUUAACAAGUUCAGCACCAUGGACAACUCUUUGGCUGUAUUAAACUGCAGUGCUCUAGUUCUCUUGCAUGGCUGAGCAGCAGAUUCAGGACCAUGGACAGCUCCCCAGAGUGCAAUACUGACAGUGCACCACUGUAAAGUAAAAACGUGUACAUGUAUGCAUUUGUUGUUGUUUCGACAUCUAAUUCACUAGUAUAUCCAACAUUGCCGACCGUCUGAUUAUUUACUUGUCGGAGAACAGAGUGCUUUUUGAUUAAAAACACAAAUAUUACAAAGAUAACGACCUGAAGGAAAACUUGUGGAGAGUCAUAGCAUCGGGUUUCUCAUAUGACGAUAGUUUGUGUGCUUUAACAGUUUGCUAAACAUCUUUGUUUUAACCUUAAUCUGUGCUAAGUAACUUUAGCCUGUAAGCUAACCUGUUCAGAUACAACAUACCAUAUGUAUUUUCACUGUCUCAAACUCAAUCGUGUUGCUGUCACAGCACCAUUAGGUCUCAGUUGUUACCUUACGUUUAUGGAUUAUAGUUUAAUGUGCUUAUCUGG